rnacentral:rRNA from 1 species
GAUGAACGCUGGCGGCGUGCUUAACACAUGCAAGUCGAACGGAAAGGCCCAAGCUUGCUUGGGUACUCGGGUGGCGAACGGGUGAGUAACACGUGGGUGAUCUGCCCUGCACUUCGGGAUAAGCCUGGGAAACUGGGUCUAAUACCGGAUAGGACCACAUUUUGGAUGGUGUGGUGGAAAGUUUUUCGGUGUGGGAUGAGCUCGCGGCCUAUCAGCUUGUUGGUGGGGUAAUGGCCUACCAAGGCGUCGACGGGUAGCCGGCCUGAGAGGGUGUACGGCCACAUUGGGACUGAGAUACGGCCCAGACUCCUACGGGAGGCAGCAGUGGGGAAUAUUGCACAAUGGGCGCAAGCCUGAUGCAGCGACGCCGCGUGGGGGAUGACGGCCUUCGGGUUGUAAACUCCUUUCGCUAGGGACGAAGCGUUUUUGUGACGGUACCUGGAGAAGAAGCACCGGCUAACUACGUG